UACGAAGGGGGCUAGCGUUGCUCGGAAUCACUGGGCGUAAAGCGCACGUAGGCGGAUUGUUAAGUCAGGGGUGAAAUCCUGGAGCUCAACUCCAGAACUGCCUUUGAUACUGAAGAUCUUGAGUUCGGGAGAGGUGAGUGGAACUGCGAGUGUAGAGGUGAAAUUCGUAGAUAUUCGCAAGAACACCAGUGGCGAAGGCGGCUCACUGGCCCCGGUACUGACGCUGAGGCGCGAAAGCGUGGGGAGCAAACAGGG
rnacentral:rRNA from 1 species